rnacentral:misc_RNA from 1 species
CUAAGUUAUAUUCCAUCAACACUUCUCAUGUCAGAAGUAUCUUAUGUGGAAUUCCUUGAUAGAGUGCAUGUGUCUGAGACAAAGCUCCGAAUAAAAGGCUUAUGGGAAGUUCCACAUCCAUGGAUGAAUCUCCUAAUCCCAAGAAGCAAAAUUUCUGAAUUUGCUCAAGAGGUCUUUGGCAACAUUCGCUCAGAGGGUAGCAAUGGUCCCAUCCUCAUCUAUCCAGUCAACAAGUCCAAGUGG